rnacentral:lncRNA from 1 species
UUUGGUAGGCUGGUCCCAGCACCUCCUCUUACAAGCAUGAUUGCCAAACACUGUCAACAGGAAUGUUAUUGACAAAGCAAAAACUCCAGGGCAAAUAAGAAAAUCCCAAUAGUCUCAAUUUCUACAAUGCCCUAUUAAUAAUAAGUCAUAGUCUUAUAAUCCCUGGAGAAGAUUUUGUUUUGUUGGAUUUGAACUCACAGGACAAUAGUCCUAGGAAAGGAUCUCAGAGACCACCUGUCUCAUUUAACAGAUAAGGAAACUGAAUAUCAGGGAAGAUAUGGGACUUGCUCACAAACAGAAAGUGUGGCAAGUGAUGCCCACUUUCUCUAGACUUCAUAAUGGAAGAAUGGACUCAUAGAUUCAGAACACAACUUGUAAGAUAAGACAUGAGAGAUUUUUACAUGGACAAG